AAAUCAUAGUGUACUGUUUUCGUUCAUUUCCGAAUAAUAAACAAUCGGUAUCCUUGGUAUCCUUUUGCUCUUAUUAAUAAAAUAAAAUAAAGCUUACAACAUCCUGUCGAGUAAUUUUACAAAAAAAUAUGCUGCUGAAUUGGUGUGUGUCAAACCACCAGUAGUUCCGCCGAUUUCAAAAGAAUAUUUAUCGAAAUCCUACUUUGACAAGCACAAGGAUUCCGACUAUGGUUUUCAGCACGAGUUUGAACUUUUGCCGGAUAAGUUUGCCGAUCGUACGACGAAGAAUUCCGAUCUGAAGGAGAACAUUCACAAGAAUCGUUACCGGAAUAUUAAGUCUUACGAUCAGACGCGCGUAAAGUUGUCGACGAUGAACGGACUGUCCGGGUCGGAUUAUAUCAAUGCGAGUUUUGUCAUUGGUUAUAAGGAGCGUAAGAAGUUUAUCUGCGCGCAGGGACCAAUGGAUAGCACUAUUGUGGAUUUCUGGUGAAUGAUUUGGGAGCAGCAUUCGGAGAUCAUUGUGAUGCUGACUAACCUGGAGGAGUACAAUAAAACGAAGUGCGCCAAAUAUUGGCCGGAGAAUAUCAACGAUUGUACCCAGUACGGAGACAUUAUGAUAACGUUCAGAUAACUAUUACGCGGAUUAUAUCAUUAGGAAUUUGAAGGUCACGAAACGAAACGUCAAUUCAGCCGGUGAAGAAGUCGAAGAGACACGAUUCCUUUCCCAGUACCAUUAUCUCACCUGGAAGGAUUUUAUGGCUCCUCAGCACCCACAGGGAAACUUCAAUUCAUCAAGCGCAUUAACUCCGAAUACUCAUUGCAGCAUGGCCCAAUUCUAGUUCACUGCACUGCCGGUGUCGGCUGGACGGGUACGUUUGUUGCGUUGGAUACCUUAACGCAGCAGCUGAACGAGGAGGGUCAAGUGUUCAUUUCCAACACAAUUUAUGAUAUGUGAUAUCAAAGAAAUUUUCUCGUACAGUCAUUGAAACAAUGCAUAUUUUUAUAUCGAGCCCUCACCGAAUUAGCGUACUUUGGAGACACAGAAAUUGAUUAAAAGUCAUUAGCCACAGCAGUAGACAGUCUGAAACAGCCAUCAGCGGAUAAUCCGGAUAUAUGUAAGUUGGAAGCACAAUACCAGCGAAUCAAAACCUUCCAAGAGGAUACUCGAAGGACGACUGCCAUCGGUGGAAGUAAGGACAAUAAGCCGAAAAACUUCCGACACGUGUGCUCCUCACGACAAGAAUCGGGUAAUAUUGGCGUCGAUGCCUGGUCAUGACAAUUGCACCUACAUCAACGCGUGGUUCAUCGAUGGGUACGACGACGAGAAUAACUUUAUCAUAACGCUG